UACGUAGGGUGCGAGCGUUAAUCGGAAUUACUGGGCGUAAAGCGUGCGCAGGCGGUUCGCUGUGUCCGAUGUGAAAGCCCCGGGCUUAACCUGGGAAUGGCAUUGGAAACUGGCGGGCUUGAGUGCGGCAGAGGGGGGUGGAAUUCCGCGUGUAGCAGUGAAAUGCGUAGAUAUGCGGAGGAACACCGAUGGCGAAGGCAGUCCCCUGGGCCUGCACUGACGCUCAUGCACGAAAGCGUGGGGAGCAAACAGG
rnacentral:rRNA from 1 species